rnacentral:lncRNA from 1 species
AGGGGAUUAGGCUGGGUCGGGAAGGUGAGAUUAUUUCGGGAAAGAGAAACUGGCUAGGAGUUAUGGGGGCGAUAAAAUAGGCUUCUUGGCGGGUUGGGAGACUGAUUUUUGGGGAAUCUCAACCAUGAGAUGAAAAAGCAUGAACGUCGUGUAACGACUCUCACGAAAGCAUCCUACGAGACUACUGACGGCAAGUGUUUAAAGAAGAAGAUUAUAA